CCUACGGGUGGCUGCAGUGGGGAAUAUUGCACAAUGGGCGCAAGCCUGAUGCAGCCAUGCCGCGUGUGUGAAGAAGGCCUUCGGGUUGUAAAGCACUUUCAGCGGGGAGGAAGGCGUUAAGGUUAAUAACCUUGGCGAUUGACGUUACCCGCAGAAGAAGCACCGGCUAACUCCGUGCCAGCAGCCGCGGUAAUACGGAGGGUGCAAGCGUUAAUCGGAAUUACUGGGCGUAAAGCGCACGCAGGCGGUCUGUCAAGUCGGAUGUGAAAUCCCCGGGCUCAACCUGGGAACUGCAUUCGAAACUGGCAGGCUAGAGUCUUGUAGAGGGGGGUAGAAUUCCAGGUGUAGCGGUGAAAUGCGUAGAGAUCUGGAGGAAUACCGGUGGCGAAGGCGGCCCCCUGGACAAAGACUGACGCUCAGGUGCGAAAGCGUGGGGAGCAAACCGGAUUAGAUACCCCAGUAGUC
rnacentral:rRNA from 1 species